rnacentral:rRNA from 1 species
UACAGAGGGUGCAAGCGUUAAUCGGAAUUACUGGGCGUAAAGGGCGCGUAGGUUGCCACAUAAGUGAGAGGUGAAAUCCCUGGGCUUAACCUGGGAAUGUCCACUCAGACUGUGUAGCUAGAGUACUGUAGAGGGUGGUGGAAUUUCCGGUGUAGCGGUGAAAUGCGUAGAGAUCGGAAGGAACAUCCGUGGCGAAGGCGGCCACCUGGACAGAUACUGACACUGAGGCGCGAGAGCGUGGGUAGCAAAC